CCUUUCCCUCAGCCUCCCGGGAGCGUGACGCGGCGGCCCGGGGGCCUCCGGGCGCCUUCCGGGGCACGCGGGAUCGACAUGCACUUGGAUCAUUGCAGUUUCUGGGCCUGCUGUCAUCUCCCCCUUCAGUACUUCCCACAUAUGACUACCAACUGUUAGACGAUGUGCUGCUGCCAGACCAGCCUUUCAUUUCUUGGACAUCCGGCUAUUUACCCAGGAAAAGUCAUCCUUUGACUAUUUUUCAUGACCUUUCUCAUCUGACUCGUGAUCUGCCCAUCUUGUUACUCCCUAGCAGUGUGGUAAGCCAAAUUCAUUCUCCCAAGAAGACAAGGAUCGAGGACUGUGGAGCCAACUCAGACUCGCCACGGCUAACAAUGUUUCCUGGGAUCGCCUCCCAAAUAAACUGCUUGUACUUGAACCCUUGUCUCAGAGUUGACUACUGGAAGAACCCCAGAUAAGACAAUCUGCGAGUAGACAUGUCAGAUAAUGCAGUUAGAUAUGAAUCUGGAAUUCAGAGGAGAGGCUCAUGCAAUUUGCAAGUCAUCAUCAAAAAGAUGUCAUUUGUUCUGUUUGUCUACUGCAGGAAGACAGAUUACCCUAAAAUUUAGUGGCUGAAAACAACUCUAUUUUAUCGUAGCUUACAAUUUUGUGGAUUGGGAAUUAGAGCCUGUCUCAUCUGGGCAACUCUUCUGUUCCCCAUGGCAUCACCUGAGGUCACUCCAUGGUAUUCAGCUACCAGACGAACUCAUCUGGAGUAUCCAAGUAUUCAUUCACGCUCAUAUCUGGCACCUUGGCAGGGAUGACUGGAAGCCUGGGCUCAGCUGGGACUGCUGACCAUAGUACCUACAAAUGGCCUCUUCAGCAUGGCUUCUUAAAUGGCUGCUCGGAGCUACCAAGAGACAGGAAGUAGAAGCUGCUAGUUUCUUAAGACCCAGAAAUGGUACAAUUUCAUUCCUGCCAUUGGUCAAAGCAGUCACAGAGCCUUCCAAGAGGAAACACAGACCCUCACUUCUCACUGGGAAGUAUGUCAAAGAGUUUGGGGCUUUUUUUUUGAGAAGGAGUCUUGCUCUGUCGCCCAGGCUGGAGUGCAGUGGCAAGAUCUCGGCUCACUGCAACCUCUGCCUCCCGAAUUCAAGCAAUUCUCCUGCUUUGGCCUCCCAAGUAGCUGGGAUUACAGGCAUGCGCCACCACACCCGGCUAAUUUUUUUGUAUUUUUAGUGGAGACGGGGUUUCACCAUAUGGGCCAGGCUGGUCUCGAACUCCUGACCUUGUGAUUCACCUGCCUCAGCCUCCCAAAGUGCUGGGAUUACAGACGUAAGCCACUGCGCCCAGCCCUGGGGCUGUCUUUAAUCCACUACAACAUUGCAAAGCUGUGAGCCAGGAUGAGAACGCCAGAGGUAUGAAUGUGGAUUAAAAGUCCAAGCACUGAAACUUUCAAUGUUUAGAGACCAGUGAGAGAAAGAACCAGCAACAGAGACUCAGAACUAUAUCAUAUUCUGCUGAUAAGCCAAUAAGAUGAUAAUGAUAACUAAGAAUUGACAUUGGCUUUAGUGAUGUAGACAUAAUUGGGGACCUUGACAAGAGCAGUUUACUGGGGGUGGUUGAGUUGAAACUUUGAUUGUUUCAAGAGAGAAUGGAAUGAGUGGAAAGAUAGUUUGUGAGUGCUAGCAAUUAUUCAGAGAAUUUCUGCUAUAAAUGGGAGCAGGAGGAUGUAUCAGGAGCUAAUGGGAGAAAUGAGGUCAACAUUAUUUCCUAUGUAGCUUUCUCUUAUGCCCAAAUUCCACUGGAUAUCAUCCACUUCUGGUUACUUCUGGUUUGGGAUGUAUAGGUGAAGGAAUAGUUUUGGAUCCUCCUUUAUUACCUGUUUUAUUUGCAUAAUUGGACAAUAACUAAACUUGCUUUAAAUAUCUCUUAAAGCAUUUUAAAUUCAAAUUUGGAGAGAGGAAUAUGAGAGUGGUUUUUGGUCAUUGUUUAGCCAUAUACAAUAUUGUCUUACCUUCUGCAUUUGAAGUUUUUGAUACCUGAUAAAUGUUUGUAUUGUGUAGUUGAACAAGAAUUUGCCACAUGAAGGUUUACAGUUGUAGUUUUAUGUUAAGUUCUUUACAGUAGUCCCCUCUCAUCUUUAUCCCCCACUUGGAACUAUCUACAGUAGUUCCAGGACCCCCCUCCCAGUGGAUGAUUGAAACCAUGGAUAGUACCAAACCCUAUAUACAUAUUAUGUUUUUCCUAUACAUACAUACCUAUGAUGUUUAAUUUCUAAAUUAGGCGGAGUAAGAGAUGAACAACAACUAAUAAUGUAAUAGAACAGUUGUAACAAUAUACUAUAAUAAGAGCUACAUGAAUGUGGUUUCUCCCUCUCAAAAUGUGUUACUGUACUCACCUAUCUUUGGUCCAUGGUUGUCUGUGGGUGACUGAAACUGCAUAUAAGGCAGGGGACUACUGUAACCACAGGUGUUGGAAGGCAGCAUAGCAGAGUAGUUAGGGUCAGGACUGCGGAGGAAGACUGCCUAGGUUCAUAUUAUGAUGUAAACUCUCCAUGCCUCACUUUUCUUAUCUAAUGCGGAGAUAAUAAUAGUAACUCAUUUGUAAAGUUAUUAUAAGUAUUAAAUGAGAAAAUACAUGUAAGACACUUAGAGUAUCACAGGUCAUCACUUACUUAGUAUGUAGUAAGUAUUUGAUGAGGUUAGUUACUAUUCUUAUUGAGCAGUGAAUCAGUUAGGAAUGCUUUCGGCUGCAAGGAGGAGAAUACUGAUUUACAGUGGCCUCAGUGAGAAGCCUGCAUUUCUCUCACAGAGCAGGCACUGCAGAGGUAGGCAGCUGCUAAAACAGGUUCCUUUCUACAGCUCCAGGGGUCUGAGUUGGCCACUCUUCAGUUCCCUCGGACCUCCCCUGUUGUUUGCCACACCACCAAUCAUCACAUUCUCAAAGGCAUUCAAGGCAGAAAGCUGGGAACAAGGAAGGGCGGAGAGUUUCUCUUCAGGAGCCUCCCUCUUACUAGAGAAGAAAAAAACCUGCCUUUUAUGGGUUCUUUUGUCUUGUUUUUCAUGACUGUCUUCAUUUGAGAAAGUCCUCAGGCCAAGAAAUGGAGGUGCUGGCAGUUGGAGAUCAGGCUGUCCAUAGCACACUGAUGUGGCACAGGCAAGGAAUAUGGCUGAGGCACCAAUUUGCUGCUACUGCUGUCUAACAGGCAUUGGAAGUCUUAUGUGUUCAAAAAUAAACUUCUGAUUUCUACUCCCAAACCUGCUCUUCCCACAUCUUCCCCGUCUCAGUAGGUGGCAGCUCUAUUUGUCCGGUUACUGAGACCAAAUAUUAGAGUCCUCCUUAAUUUCCUCUCUCUCAUGCUUCACAUUCAGUUUAUUAAUAAAUCCUGUUGACAGCCUGGGCAAUAUGGCAAGAAUCCAUCUCACAAAAUAAAUAAAUAAGCCAGGUGUGGUGGUACGUGCCUGUGGUCCCCGGUUACUCGAGAAGCUGAGGCUGAGGAUCAGUUGAGCCCAGGAGUUGAGGCUACAGAUAGCUAUGAUCACACCACUGCACUCCAGCCUGGGCAUCAGUGAGAGCACAUUUCUUAAAAAAAAAAAAAAAAAAAAAAGAAGGACUGGGCGUGGUGGCUCAUGCCUGUAAUCCGAACAUUUUGGGAGGCCGAGGCGGGCAGAUCACUUGAGCCCAGGAGUUUGAGACCAGUCUGCACAAUAUGGUGAGACCCCUGUCUCUACAAAAAAUACAAAAUUUAGCUGGGCAUGGUGGCACAUGCCUGUAGUCCCAGCUACUCGGGAGGCUGGGGCAGGAGGAUCUCUUGAGCCAGGGAGUUGGAGAUUGCAGUGAGCCAAGAUCACACCACUGCACUCCAGCCUGCGCAACAGAGCCAGACUGUGUUUAAAAAAAAAAAAAUCCUGUCAGAUCUACCUUUAGAUUAUGUCCAGAAUUCAACCACUUUCAUCAUCUGUAUCAUUACUACACUGACCCAAUCCACCAACAUUUCUUGCCUGUAUUAUUUAAAAUUUCUGGCCAGGUGUGGUGGCUCACACCUGUAAUCCCAGCACUUUGGGAGGCCCAGGAGGGUGGAUCACGAGGUCAGGAGAUCGAGACCAUCCUGGCUAACAUGAUGAAACCCCGUCUCUACUAAAAAUACAAAAACUUAGCCGGGUGUGGUGGCGGGCGCCUGUAGUCCCAGCUACUUGGGAGGCUGAGGCAGGAGAAUGGUGUCAACCCGGGAGGGGGAGCUUGCAGUGAGCCGAGAUCGCGCCACUGCACUCCAGCCUGGGCGACAGAGCGAGACUCCGUCUCAAAAAAAGAAAAGAAAAGUUUCCUAACUGGUUUUUGUGUUUUCUUCCCCUUUCCCCCCAUGAUUUAAAAGCUAGGUUAUAUUCUGUCACUUUCUUGCACAAAAUUCUCCAAUGACUUCCAGUCUCACUCGGAGUAAAAUCCAAAUUCUUAGGAUGGCCUAUAAUGUCCUACAAAAUUUGCCCCCUCAUUGACUCUUUGACCUCAUCUGCUAGUCUCCUAGCUCAUUCUGCUCCAGUUGCCCCAAUUUCCCUACUGUUCCCCCAACCAUGCCAGGUGUGCCCCCACCUCAAGAGCGGCCCUUUUUUUUUUUUUUUUUUUUUUUGAGACGGAGUCUCGCUCUGUCGCCCAGGCUGGAGUGCAGUGGUGCUAUCUCAGCUCACUGCAACCUCGGCCUCCUGGGUUCACGCCAUUCUCCUGCCUCAGCCUACCGAGUAGCUGGGACUACAGGCGUCCGCCACCACGCCCGGCUAAUUUUUUGUAUAUUUAGUAGAGACGGGGUUUCACCGUGUUAGCCAGGAUGGUCUCGAUCUCCUGACCUCGUGAUCCGCCCUCCUCGGCCUCCCAAAGUGCUGGGAUUACAGGCGUGAGCCACCACGCCUGGCCUAAGAGCGACCCUUCUAAUGGGCACAGUUUUCUGCCAGGUUGCCUCAAGGCUUGCUUCCUUACUUCCUUCAGGUCUCACAUGUCACCAUGCCUGAGCCUUCCCUGGUGCCCCUAUGUGAAACAGCCAUUUUCUCAUGCACUUUCUGUCCCCAUAUCCUGUUUUAUUUUUCUCCACCUGAUAUACUAUAUGUGUAUUUAUAUAUAUAUGUGUGUGUGUACUAUGCUUGCUUAUCUUCAGUCUCCCCCACUGAAAUGUAAGUUCCAUGAGAGAAGACUUUCUUGUAUUACCUGUUUCACCCCUAGUGCUUGGAACGUAAUAGGCACUUGAAGAGCAUUUCCUGAAUGUAUACAUAAACAAGCAAUAUUGCAUGUUAGCGUUGCCUCAAGAUUUGUGCUUAUUCCUCCCAUAUUUUGUGAUUAAUUCCCCUCUACCUACUCCCAAAAUGAGAUUAUUAAAUCAAAAGGUAAAGGUACUUUGGGAGGCCGAGGCGGGCGGAUCACGAGGUCAGGAGAUCGAGACCAUCCUGGCUAACACGGUGAAACCCCGUCUCUACUAAAAAUACAAAAAAUUAGCCAGCCAAGGCAGCGGGUGCCUGUAGUCCCAGCUACUCGGGAGGCUGAGGCAGGAGAAUGGCGUGAACCCCGGGGGGCGGAGCCUGCAGUGAGCCGAGAUCGCGCCACUGCACUCCAGCCUGGGCGACAGCGAGACUCCGUCUCAAAAAAAAAAAAUUCCAAAUAGCUUUCAAAAACAAAGCAAUUAUGUGGAGAGUAUCAUACGAGUUAUACGUUCUUGUUAGGCAUUGUACUUUUAAACUUUUUCACAAAUUUUAUAGAAAAGACUAGCAAAAUUUAUUAUCUUUCCAUAUUUAUUUACAACCAAUAAUAGUAGUUUUGAAUAAAUAAUUAAUUUUUUAAAGUAUUUAAAAAACGGAAAUCUUGACCAAAGGCUUUCUCAGGUUUAUUCACCUUUUUGGCUGUGAUCUGACCAUGGCUGCCUGUAACCAAAGGUGAACUUACUAACCCCGCUCUGCACACUGCUGCUUAUUUUCCUCCGUUAAGUGCAAUACCUGCCUCCCCAGUUCACGAUUCUAAGUCCUAUAUAUUAGCUUAUCUUUAUAUCUUAGUUAUAUAAUUCUCACACUAGAGGAAAAGGCAGUCUUUUCUGGCUCAAUGACUAUGUCUUUAAAAAAAAAAAUACCAUGCCCUUCCCCACAAUGUUUUCAGUAUCCUAUAAUAAUAUGAAACAAAACAAAAGGUUGAUUAAAGGAACGUACAUAUUGGUUGCAUCAUAGUCACCCCAAGGGAAAUAUUAGGCCCCAAUGGAAGUAAAGACAUAUAGGUUCCUUUUCUUCUCCAACCAAAGGAGCUUGCUGCUCAGAGUUCAAAAUCUAUAUUUUGCAUAUAGAUUAUCUAUAUUUUAUCUUUGCAUAUGCAAUGAUAAAAUUCCAUGGAAAAAAAUGGUGACAUAUGCACAUAAAUCCACUUCUAUAUACAUACAUUUUGACUCUUAGAAACAGCUACUAUAUAACACAAUCAAGUAUCGAUUUAUUUCCUGUCUCUCUCUCUCUACGUAUAUAUUUGGUUCAAAAUAUAUGUAUUUGGUUCAAAGUCUCAGCAAGGGAUGUACCUGGCUUUGGUUAUUGAUGAGAAGAGUAAUUAAUAGAACAUUCCCUUUGCUGUGAUACCCUACCCAAAAUAGCUCGGUUGUUGGUUCACUUUCUUCAGAUACCUCCUUGUCUCAUGGACCGCCUACUUACUCCCAAAUGCCAUUCUGAACAACCAUUUGUAACCACCUCCUCCCAAAUGCCCUCUCCCAACUGCCUUUCUAAAUCAAUGUUUCACUGUCCUAAUUUCUUACUGUUCUUUGCAGUUGUCAUUUUAACCUAAGAGCUAAUUAUCUUUGCCAAACACCAUUCCUAAUAGGCCAAACUUUCAAACUGAAAAAAGAAUCUUAGGAAGUCUUUUGGUAAAAAUAAAUGUUCCCUUAUUUUUGGUUAUUAGUAUUUUGUUUUUUAUUUUAAACUAUGGAUAGCUUCUUGACUGCCUAAGAUUGUGCUACAUAAAUAUCCAGUAACCACCCUAAUCAGCAAAAUGAGAUAAUAAAACAAUCCCAAAAGGAAUGUGAGUAGGACUAAAUUAUGACUUUUUUUUUUUUUUUUUUUUUUUGAGAUGAUGUCUUGUUCUGUUGCCCAGGCUGGAGUGCAGUAGUGCCAUCUCAACUUACUGCAGCCUUCACCUCCUGGGUUCAGGUGAUUCUCCUGCCUCAGCACCCCCCUGCCCCACCCAGGUAGCUGGGAUCACAGGCACCUGCCACCACACCCGGCUAAUUUUUGUAUUUUUAGUAGAGACAGGGUUUCGCAUGUUGGACAGGCUGGUCUCGAACUCCUGACCUCAGGUGAUCCACCACCUCCGCCUCCCAAAGUGCUGGGAUUAUAGGCAUGAGUCACCGCGCCCAGCCCUAAAUUAUAUCACCAGAAAUGGAGUGGGAUAUAUGAAGACAAUGUGUCUCACUUCACACUGACGCAAAGUCUGUCAACAGAACAGAAGCAAGAAUUCCUGAAUUAAGUUAUCACCAGUAUAUAUGGAAUGCUGUCUGAUAAACCUCUUUACAUAGUUUCUUCAUUUUACUUUUCCCAGAUUUUGUACUUCACUCUUAAUAUCGUAUACACAUACUAAAAUCUUUUUUUUUUUUUAAGAGUCAGGGUCUUGCUCUGUCACCCAGGCUGGAGUGCAGUGGUGUGAUCAUAGCUCACUGUAGCCUCAACUCCUGGGCUCAAGAUAUCCUCCCACCUCAGCCUCCCAAGUAGCUGGGACUACAGGAGCAUGACAGCAUGCCCGGCUAAUUUUUAAAUUUUAUUUUUGUAGAGACAGGGGCUCCCUGUGUUGCCCAGGCUGGUCUCAAACUUCUGGGCUCAAGUGAUCCUCCUGCCUCAGCCUCCCAAGGUGUUGGAAUUACAGGCUUGAGCCACCAUGCCCAGCUUAAAAUUCUUGUAAUGAGAACAACUAUGGUCAAAUGUAAUAAAUUGUGAUUAUAUAUAUAAUAAAAUAAGUAAAAUGUCUAUUUCAUAUAAUUUAUAUGACAAAUAUAAUACAAUUAGUGCAGCCCCACCAAAGUCUCAUCUAAAUAAAAUUAUUGACUAUUAUACUUUUGGUAUGAAUCAGUUCUCAUUGUGAGAAUGUUAAAUAAUUCUUUGACUGGUGUUCCUGGGAUGCAAAUAUAUGUAGUUGUUCCUCAGUAUCUGUGGUGGAUUGGUUCCAGCACCCCCUUUCAAAACCAAAAUCUGCAGAUACAGUUGCUGAUAUGAAAUGGCAUAGUAUUUGCAUAUAAACUACGUACAUCCUCCUGUAUACUUUAAAUCACCUCUAGAUUAUUGUAAUAUCUAAUACAAAGUAAAUGCUACGUAUAUUGUUAUACUGUAUUGUUUAGGGAAUAAUGCCAAGAAAAAACAGUCUAUACAUGUUCAGUACAGAUGCAGCCAUCCAUUUUCUUGUCCAAAUAUUUUUUAUCUCCAGUUGGUUGAAUCCAUUGAUGCAGAAACCACGGAUACGGAGAGCUGACUCUGUGUGUGUGUGUGUAUACUCACCAAUUCUUUAUUUAUUCAACAAAUAUUUAUUGAAUUUCUACUAUGUGUGAAGCAUAGUUCACGAUCCUGGGGAUAUAGUAGACAAGCUCCUUGCCUUAUUGAGCUCACAUUCUUAUGGGGAAGGGCAGGUUCAGGGCCUUCUCAGAUCUUUGCUGGGCAUGCACACAGCCCUAUGCAUAUGCUGCUUUGUGGAUUCCCACAAUGAGUUGAAGCUUUUCAAAGCUCCUAGGGACGUACCAUUCUCUGGCUUUUCCUUUUGAGCUUUAGGUUAGCCUUUUGUUUGCCCUAAUAUCACCCACUACUCAGGCAGGAAUGAAGUCAAACAAUUGUCUUGAAAUAUUUUCAAUAAAUGCCUCUGGAGAAAAGGGUUUUUAUUUUUUUAGCCCUGGAUAAGAUCCUGGUUAGGUUAAAUAAAGGCAGCCUUGCAAGUGGGGUCUUCCCGGGAAGCACCAGACAGACAAAUAACUACAGUACCAUGAGAAUGAAGCUUUGAAGGUGCUCUAACCCCAUUCUGCCUUAUCUAGUGGCUGCCAGGUUCCUGGGGUCACCAGGAUUGUGGACUGUUGGCUUCCAAGGCUGCCAGGGAGCUGGAGAAAGGGGGAUGGAAAUAGGAUAGUUAAAAUGCCACAAACCUCUUUGUUUUUACUAAGAUUCAACCAUUUGUCUUGAUAAAUGCCUCCCAGAUUGCUGCAAGCAAGCCUUUGGUUAAUUUCCAGAGUUCUGAUAAACUUAAUACUAUCAAUUUUUGUCAGUUUUGUACUUGCUUUUAUGGAGGAAAGAAUUGUGGGAGUUUCUUUGUCAUUUUCACUGCUAACACUCAUAGGGAUGAAUCUUACAAACUUAAUGUCAUGGAAUGAAAUGGGAAAGGCAUAAAAUAGUACAUAGGGCAUAAUUCCAUGAAUAUAAAGCUCAAAAAUAGGCCAGACACAGUGGCUCACACCAGUAAUCCCAGCACUUUGGGAGGCCGAGGUGGGAGGACAGCUUGAGCCCAGGCUGGAGAGCAGAGGUGCGAUCUCGGCUCACUGCAACCUCCCCCUCCUGGGCUCAGGUGAUCCUCCCACCCCAGCCUCUCAAAUAGCUGGGACUACAGACGUGUACCACCACACCCAGCCACAAAAAGUUUUUUUAAUUAGCUGAGCAUGGUGGCCUGCAUCUGUAGUCACAGCUACUCAAGAGGUUGAGGAGGGAGGAUCGUUGGAGCCAGGGAAGUCGAGGCUUCAGUGAACUUUGGUCGCGCCACUGAACUUCGGCCUGGGUGACAGAGACCCUGUCACACACCCACAAAAGUUCAAAAACAGGUAAAACUAAAUGACAUAGGCAGGGAUGUGCAUAUAGGUGAUAAAAUGCUAAAGAAAAUGAAGAACACAAUAACCGUAAAAUCCAGGAUGGUGCUUCUUGAGAAUUGGGAAGGGGUACCCACUAGCCACCUAGUGAGCUAGGUGAUGGUUACGUGGGCAGUAAUUUCACACCUAUUUGUUAAAUUGUACUUAUAUGUUUUGUGAACUUUUUUUUUUUUUUUGAGACAAGGUCUUGCUCUGUCACCCAGGCUGGAUGAGUGCAGUGGUACAAUCUCAGCUCACUACAACCUCCGUCUCCUGGGCUCAAGCGAUCCUCCCACCUCAGCCUCCCAAAUAGCUGUGACUACAGGCAGGCGCCACCAUGCCCAGCUAAUUUUUAUAUUUUCAGUAGAAACGGGGUUUCACCAUGUUGGCCAGGCUGGUCUGGAACUCCCUACCUUAAAUGAUCUGCCCACCUCGGCCUUCCAAAGUGCUGGGAUUAUAGGCAUGAGCCACUGUGUCCAGACCACAUUUCUUUAUGUGUAUUAUAUUUCACAAUAAAACAUUUUAAAAUUAAAUAGAUACUUCAUUUAUAAUUUGCACCAAGCAGGAAGUGAACACAUUCCACCCACACAGAACUCAGUUGUAUGCCAUCAUAUUUAACUACAGCACAGGGAAAAAUAAGGAAGUGUAGCCAAAAUAGAUUUUUUUUUUUACCUUGUGACGCAACAGUAAAAUAGAUGUUAUAAUAUCUACGCGUUCAAAGGAGAGCCUCGCCGGCCUUAUUUAAAGGCUAUUUAUUUUUAUUAAUGUCUAACAUACUUGGUCUUCUGUUUCCUCAGUAGACAGUAAACUCCUCAAUAUUAUUUGAGCUCCUAGGACAGAUCCGUGUCUGUUUUGCUUACAAUAGCAUCUCUAGCACUUAGCCGAUUGUAAGUGCUCCAUAAUCAUUAAAUCAAGAAUGACUGACAGCAAAUUAGGAAAAAAGGGAAAAAGUUGAUGUAAGCAAGUGCACUGACUGUAAGUCAGGAAUGGAAAAAAAAAAGCCAAUAGAAGGCGAAAACAAACAGAAAACCAUGAGCAUUAGAAUGGAGUAACGGCUUAAACAAGUUAUCUUUUCUCAUAUAAAAAAAUGGAGGUGGCAUGGCAGACUUUUGUAUUAUCAGGAGCCCAGGCUCCCAUCUUUCUGCUUGACCAUCCUCAGUUCAUGGUUUCUAGUCUCGAGGUCACCUCAGGGUCCAAGAUGGCCAUGAAUAUUCCAUUAUUAUAUCCAGGAAUAAGGAAGUCAAGUAAAGGGGAGCACAACAUAUUAAGGUGAUUUCCAGAAGUUCCAUACAACACCCCUAUUUACAUAUUGGGCCCAUCGCGGUGGCUCACGCAUGUAAUCCCAGCACUUAGGGAGGCUGGAGUGGGAGGAUCUCUUGAGGCCAGGAGUUCAAGACCAGUCUGGACAACAUAACAAGACCUCAACUCUACUAAAAAAUUUUUAAAAAUUAACCAGUUGUGGUGGCACAUGCCCGUCCAGAGGCUGAGUUGGGAGGAUGGCUUGAGCCCAGGAGGUUGAGGCUGCAGUGAGCCAUGAUCGUGCCACUGCACUCCAGCCUGGGUGACAGAGGGAGAUCCUGACUCAAAAAACAAACAGCCAGGCACAGUGGUUCAUGCCUGUAAUCCCAGCACUUUGGGAGGCCAAGGCGGGAGGAUCAUGAGGUCAGCAGUUCGAGAUCAGCCUGGCCAACAGGCGAAACCCUGUCUCUACUAAAAAUACAAAAAUUAGCCAGGUGUGGUGGUGCAUAUGUGUAAUCCCAGCUACUUAGGAGGCUGAGGCAUGAAAAAUCACUUGAACCUGGAAGGCGGAGGUUGCAGUGUUCUGAGAUCGAGACAGUGCACUCCAGCCUAGGCAAUAGAGUGAGACUCUGUCUUGAAAAAAAAACCAAGCAAACAAACAACAACUACAAAAAUAAAAAAACCCCAAAUACAUCUUAUUGGCCAGAACAUAGUCACCUGUUCAAAUGUAAAUAUAAGGAAAGUAGGGAAAUACAGUCUCUUAUCAGGGCAGCUAAUACUGGGGAUUCUGUUCACUAGGGAGGAGGACAGAUCAGAUUUGGUAGGCAGCAUUAGCAGGGAGGAGGACAGAUGAGAUUUGGCGGGCAACAUUAGCCUCUGCCACAGGGAGAAUUUGAUCAGAAGCAAAUAGAUGAACCUGUACGCAUCAAGAGGUUCUGAGUACAGCAUAACUCUAAUACAUAACAAUACAAAGCAGUCGUACUUGUUAAUAAUGCAAAUUCUGAGACAUCAAGAAAAAUAUUAAAUUACAUGUACCAAUCUUCUGUAAAGAAAGCAAAGAUGUGGCCGGGCACAGUGGCUCACGCCUGUAAUCCCAGCACUUUGGGAGUCGAGGUGGGCGGAUCACCAAGUCAGGAGAUCAAGACCAACCUGGCCAACAUGGAGAAACCCCAUCUCUACUAAAAAUACAAAAAUUAGCCGGGCGUGGUGGUGCGCACCUGUACUCCUAGCUACUUGGGAGGCUGAGGCAGGAGAAUCGCUUGAACCCAGGAGGCAGAGGUUGCAGUGAGCCAAGAUGGCGCCAUUGCACUCCAGCCUAGGCAAGAGAGUGAGACUCCGUCUAAAAACAAAACAUCAAAAAGGAAGGAAGGAAGGCAGGCAGGCGGGCAGGCAAAGAUGAGUAUAAUACAUUUUCUGAAGAAGUGUAUCCAAAAUAUUGAAUAUUGAAAACUUAGAGCACAUAGAGGCUGGGGAGGUAGGCCACAUCUGUAGCCCCAGCACGUUGGGAGUCCCAGGCAGGAGGAACACUUGAGCCCAGGAAUUUGAGACCAGCCUGGGCAACAUAAGGAGACAUCAUUUCUAUAAACAUAAAAAAAUUAGCUGGGCGUAGUGCAUGCGCCUGUGGUUCCAGCUUUUUGGGAAGCUGAGGUGAGAGGAUCUCUUGAGUUCAGAAGGUUGAAGCUGCAGUGAGCUGUGACUGUGCCACUGCACUCCAGCCUGGGCAGCAGAGCCGCUAUUGUCUGUCAUCCAGGUUUUGCAGUAGGAAUCUGAUUGUUUUUUUUGUGUUGUUGUUGUUUUGAGAUGGAGCGCAGUGGCACGAUCUCAGAUCACCGCCACCUCCACUUCCUGGGUUCAAGUGAUUCUCCUACCUCAGCCUCCUGAGUAGCUGGGAUUACAGGCACACACCACCACACCUGGCUAAUUUUUGUAUUUUUAGUAGGGACAGGGUUUCGCCACAUUGGCCUGGCUGGUCUCAAACUCCUGACCUCAGGUGAUCUGCCUGACUCGGCCUCCCAAAGUGCUGAGAUUACAGGCAUAAGCCACCACCCCCAGCAUAAUUAGUCUUCUUGUUUAACAUCUUUCCCCCCACCUUUCUUUUCAACAUAGCAGCCAGCAAAAUCCUCUUAAAACUUACAUAGAUAAACAUCACUCUUCUGCUCAAAACCCCUCAGUGGCCUUCCUUCUCAGAGUAAAACCAAAGUCACAUCGCCUAAAUGCCUUGUCUGAACCCCAAACCUUCCUGAUCUCACCUGUGCUUGCCUCCUGGUGCCUUUGACUCAAGCCAUUUCCUACUCAUGUUGUACCUCCGACACUCCAGACGUGCUCCAUGCUGUUCCCUCUGUCUGGAACACUCUUCCCCCCUUGCACUGUGCCCUUCUCACUCAUUUCAUUCAGUUAUUUGCAAAUGUCACCUGAUCAGAGAGGCCUUCCCUAAGCAAUCGCUCCAUUUGAAAGAGUACCGCUGCCCUCGUCACUCUAGUUCUGCUGCAUUUUUCUUUUCUUUCUUUUUUUUUUUACUUGCCGAUAAUUUUAUUGCUUACGUAGAACAUCCAAGAGUAUUUAAUGAUAAAUAGAACCCCCAAAGUUUCAGACAAUUAUUUGGUACAUAAUCCAUACAUAAAAAUGAGUUGCCUUCCUCUAUGCCAGAAGCCAACAGUUAGAAUAUAUAAUUUUAUAAAAAUUCUAUUUAUAGUAUCAACAAAAAUUUUUAAAUUCCUGAUAGAAAAUAUAAAGACAUGUAAAGUAUUCAUAAAGAAAAUUAUAAAUCCUUAUUGAAAGGAAUCAGUGGAAAGCUAUACCAUAUUUAUGGAUGGGAUAAUUAAAAAUCAUUAAUUUGAUAUCCUGCAUUUUUCUUUAUAGCAUUUACUUCUACCAGCCACACUCUAAAUUUGUUUACUUGCUUAUCAUGUCUAUCAUGUCUCUGUCUCCUGGAAUAUAAGCUCCAAGCCGGGAACUUGUUUUGUUUCUUGCUCUAUUCUCAGUUCCUAGAUCAGUACCUUUCACAUGGGAGUGGAUUAAUAAAUAUUUAUUUAAUGAAGGAUGAAUGAACGAAUGAAUGAGAGGUAUUAACACUGUUUACUCUGCUACAGGAGUCCUUGGCUAAAAAGAUUGAGAAUCAGUAAGCUAUAGAACACUCUAUGCAAAACGAAAACCACCCAUACUUUUCACAUGGAAGCAUAAGACAGUUUUAACUAAAUAAAUGAAAACUUUUCUUCAAAAAAAAAAAUUACUCUUCUACUUUUGUUUCAGUAUUUCAUUUACACUCCUUAAAUCUAGUAAGAAUUAGGCAGCCAGGCACAGUGGCUCAUACCUGUAAUCCCACCACUCUGGGAGACCAAG
rnacentral:lncRNA from 1 species